rnacentral:rRNA from 1 species
GAUGAACGCUGGCGGCGUGCCUAAUACAUGCAAGUCGAGCGAACAGACGAGGAGCUUGCUCCUCUGACGUUAGCGGCGGACGGGUGAGUAACACGUGGAUAACCUACCUAUAAGACUGGGAUAACUUCGGGAAACCGGAGCUAAUACCGGAUAAUAUAUUGAACCGCAUGGUUCAAUAGUGAAAGACGGUUUUGCUGUCACUUAUAGAUGGAUCCGCGCCGCAUUAGCUAGUUGGUAAGGUAACGGCUUACCCAGGCAACGAUGCGUAGCCGACCUGAGAGGGUGAUCGGCCACACGGGAACUGAGACACGGUCGAGACUCCUACGGGGGGCAGCAGUAGGGAAUCUUACGCAAUGGGCGAAAGCCUGACGGUGCAACGCCGCGUGAGUGAUGAAGGUCUUCGGAUCGUAAAACUCUGUUAUUAGGGAAGAACAAAUGUGUAAGUAACUAUGCACGUCUUGACGGUACCUAAUCAGAAAGCCACGGCUAACUACGUG